rnacentral:tRNA from 1 species
GUGCCCCUGGCCGAGCGGUCAGGCCCCGGUCUUCCAAGCUGGACAGGCGGGUUCAACUCCCGCGGGGCACU